AAUGGACCAAUCAGCAGGACAUGGGCAGGGACAAAUAAGGGAAUAAAAGCUGGCCACCCUAGCCAGCAGUGGCAACCUGCUCGAGUCCCUUUCCAUGCUUUGGAAGCUUUGUUCUUUUGCUCUUCACAAUAAAUCUUGCUGCUGCUCACUCUUUGGGUCUGUGCCACCUUUAAGAGUUGUAACACUCACUGUGAAGGUCUGCAGCUUCAUUCUUGAAGUCAGCGAGACCACGAACCCACCGGAAGGAACAAACUCUGGACACAAUAUGACUUGGUGAAAAGUUGCUCAGUACAAUGGGCA
rnacentral:lncRNA from 10 species